rfam:Triticum aestivum genome assembly, contig: Triticum_aestivum_CS42_TGACv1_scaffold_324652_4BL
UGUGUACUCCCUGUGUUCCAAAAUACUUGACUUCCAUUUGUCCAAAAAUGGAUGUACCUAUAUACUAAAACAUGUCUAGAUACAUAUAUAUUUUGACAAAUAGAAGGCAUGUAUUGUGCAACGGAGGGAGUAGAAU